GAUGAACGCUGGCGGCGUGCCUAAUACAUGCAAGUCAAGCGAACAGACGAGGAGCUUGCUCCUCUGACGUUAGCGGCGGACGGGUGAGUAACACGUGGAUAACCUACCUAUAAGACUGGGAUAACUUCGGGAAACCGGAGCUAAUACCGGAUAAUAUAUUGAACCGCAUGGUUCAAUAGUGAAAGACGGUUUUGCUGGCACUUAUAGAUGGAUCCGCGCCGCAUUAGCUAGUUGGUAAGGUAACGGCUUACCAAGGCAACGAUGCGUAGCCGACCUGAGAGGGUGAUCGGCCACACUGGAACUGAGACACGGUCCAGACUCCUACGGGAGGCAGCAGUAGGGAAUCUUCCGCAAUGGGCGAAAGCCUGACGGAGCAACGCCGCGUGAGUGAUGAAGGUCUUCGGAUCGUAAAACUCUGUUAUUAGGGAAGAACAAAUGUGUAAGUAACUAUGCACGUCUUGACGGUACCUAAUCAGAAAGCAACGGCUAACUACGUG
rnacentral:rRNA from 1 species